rnacentral:tRNA from 1 species
UCCUGGUGAGCUCAGCUGGUAGAACGCUCCACUGGAAAUGAAGAGGACCUGGGUUCGAUACCCAGACCAUGCA